rnacentral:rRNA from 1 species
GAUGAACGCUGGCGGCGUGCUUAACACAUGCAAGUCGAACGGAAAGGCCAGUGCUUGCACUGGUGCUCGAGUGGCGAACGGGUGAGUAACACGUGGGUGAUCUGCCCUGCACUUUGGGAUAAGCCUGGGAAACUGGGUCUAAUACCAGAUAGGACCAUGCUUUGGAUGGUGUGGUGGAAAGUUUUUUCGGUGUGGGAUGAGCUUGCGGCCUAUCAGCUUGUUGGUGGGGUAAUGGCCUACCAAGGCGUCGACGGGUAGCCGGCCUGAGAGGGUGUACGGCCACAUUGGGACUGAGAUACGGCCCAGACUCCUACGGGAGGCAGCAGUGGGGAAUAUUGCACAAUGGGCGCAAGCCUGAUGCAGCGACGCCGCGUGGGGGAUGACGGCCUUCGGGUUGUAAACUCCUUUCGCAACUGACGAAGCUUUUUGUGACGGUAGGUUGAGAAGAAGCACCGGCUAACUACGUGC